rnacentral:rRNA from 1 species
GACGUAGGGGGGCAAGCGUUGUCCGGAAUUAUUGGGCGUAAAAGCGCUCGUAGGCGGAUCGAUAAGUCUGUGAAGAAAAGACCCCGGGCUCAACUCGGGGGGAAACGGCAUAGAUACUGUUUGAUCUUUGAGACAGUCAGAGGAUGAUGGAAAUUUCCCAGGUGUAGCGGUGAAAAAUGCGUAGAUAUCUUGGGAGGGAAACACC